GACGAACGCUGGCGGCGUGCUUAACACAUGCAAGUCGAACGGAAAGGCCCUGCUUUUGUGGGGUGCUCGAGUGGCGAACGGGUGAGUAACACGUGAGUAACCUGCCCUUGACUUUGGGAUAACUUCAGGAAACUGGGGCUAAUACCGGAUAGGAGCUCCUGCUGCAUGGUGGGGGUUGGAAAGUUUCGGCGGUUGGGGAUGGACUCGCGGCUUAUCAGCUUGUUGGUGGGGUAGUGGCUUACCAAGGCUUUGACGGGUAGCCGGCCUGAGAGGGUGACCGGCCACAUUGGGACUGAGAUACGGCCCAGACUCCUACGGGAGGCAGCAGUGGGGAAUAUUGCACAAUGGGAGGAAGCCUGAUGCAGAAACGCCGCGUGCGGGAUGACGGCCUUCGGGUUGUAAACCGCUUUCGCCUGUGACGAAGCGUGAGUGACGGUAAUGGGUAAAGAAGCACCGGCUAACUACGUG
rnacentral:rRNA from 1 species